CUCUUGAUUUUUAUCUCUGUUUUUCAACAUUCAACAUUGUUUACAACAUUAAGUAGGACCUAACCUACUUCUUUGCCCUAUAUGUGAUUCCUUUUUAAAAACUGAAGUAUAAUUUGAAUAAUAGUACAGUUAAGCCCUUCCAGGCAUCUAGUGCUGAGUAAAUGAGCCUAGGCAUGCCUUCAGCUGCUACCCCUCCCCCUGUGCCAGCCCUAGUGACCUAAGCCAGAGCCCACGCUUCCCAGCCCUAAGGCGCUGUCUUCACUACACACGGGUCUGGAGCUGCUUCUCAAUGCUGCGGUCUUGCCGUGGCCACAGCCACUCAGUCUCUCCAAGUCCACCACAACACCACCAUCGGUCUGGUGGGUGCAGGACUGACUGACUCAUUGUCUCUCUGCUUCCCUUGACUCCCAACAUGACACGCUUGGAAGGUGAUUCCAGGAGACUCUGCCAAGGGCACUCUGAUCUCAGUCUUGAAGCCUUGGGUUGAAACAUUCUGAACGAACUGCUUGAACUUUAGGCAGUGAAGAAGAAAGGUCUUCCCGGCCUAGUCCAGCCUGGUGACAAAUGCCCUCCUAGCCCGCCACACAGCUUCACCAACUCUGAGAAGCUCCUUGGCCACAGAGCGCGCUCUUCGUCCUCAUUUGUGACCCCAAGAGGCUGCCACCCGGAAGAGGUGGUGCAGUGCAGAAGGACAGACAGACCUAAAACUUAAUCUGUUUAGAUUUCCAACCGUGGCCUGCCGACCUGCCACCUGGUGGUUGCCACAGUCCUUGCACCUGCGCAUAGCAUAGACUAGUCCUGGAUUCCUGCUUGGCUCCAGUCUCCUUUGCCAAACCUGUGCCGGACUCAGGAAGGGAGGUAAGGGGAGCACUUUUGUGUGGGCUGGAAGCGGGCUGUGCCCACCCCCACCCCCACCCCUGCUCACCCAGCUUCUAGGGUUCCCGUCUGUCCCCCUCCAUCAACUCUUCCGUAGGAUCACAACAUCUGUAAGUCCCCAAAGCAUCGCACCCCCGCCAGACACUCGCAGACCUGGAUAAGAGAUUGUUCUUGCAGAUAAAAAGGGCUCGCCCGGC